GACGAACGCUGGCGGCGUGCUUAACACAUGCAAGUCGAACGAUGAAGCCUAGCUUGCUAGGUGGAUUAGUGGCGAACGGGUGAGUAAUACGUGAGUAACCUACCUUUAACUCUGGGAUAAGCCUGGGAAACUGGGUCUAAUACCGGAUACGACCAAUCUCCGCAUGGGGUGUUGGUGGAAAGCGUUAUGUAGUGGUUAUAGAUGGGCUCACGGCCUAUCAGCUUGUUGGUGAGGUAAAGGCUCACCAAGGCGACGACGGGUAGCCGGCCUGAGAGGGUGACCGGCCACACUGGGACUGAGACACGGCCCAGACUCCUACGGGAGGCAGCAGUGGGGAAUAUUGCACAAUGGGCGCAAGCCUGAUGCAGCGACGCCGCGUGAGGGAUGACGGCCUUCGGGUUGUAAACCUCUGUUAGCAGGGAAGAAGAGAGAUUGACGGUACCUGCAGAGAAAGCGCCGGCUAACUACGUGCCAGCAGCCGCGGUAAUACGUAGGGCGCGAGCGUUGUCCGGAAUUAUUGGGCGUAAAGAGCUUGUAGGCGGUUUGUCGCGUCUGCUGUGAAAGGCCGGGAGCUUAACUCCGUGUAUUGCAGUGGGUACGGGCAGACUAGAGUGCAGUAGGGGAGACUGGAAUUCCUGGUGUAGCGGUGGAAUGCGCAGAUAUCAGGAGGAACACCGAUGGCGAAGGCAGGUCUCUGGGCUGUAACUGACGCUGAGAAGCGAAAGCAUGGGGAGCGAACAGGAUUAGAUACCCUGGUAGUCCAUGCCGUAAACGUUGGGCACUAGGUGUGGGGAACAUUCCACGUUUUCCGCGCCGUAGCUAACGCAUUAAGUGCCCCGCCUGGGGAGUACGGCCGCAAGGCUAAAACUCAAAGAAAUUGACGGGGGCCCGCACAAGCGGCGGAGCAUGCGGAUUAAUUCGAUGCAACGCGAAGAACCUUACCAAGGCUUGACAUAUACUGGACCGCAUCAGAGAUGGUGUUUCCCUUCGGGGCUGGUAUACAGGUGGUGCAUGGUUGUCGUCAGCUCGUGUCGUGAGAUGUUGGGUUAAGUCCCGCAACGAGCGCAACCCUCGCUCUAUGUUGCCAGCACGUUAUGGUGGGGACUCAUAGGAGACUGCCGGGGUCAACUCGGAGGAAGGUGGGGAUGACGUCAAAUCAUCAUGCCCCUUAUGUCUUGGGCUUCACGCAUGCUACAAUGGCCGGUACAGAGGGUUGCGAUACUGUGAGGUGGAGCUAAUCCCUAAAAGCCGGUCUCAGUUCGGAUUGGGGUCUGCAACUCGACCCCAUGAAGUCGGAGUCGCUAGUAAUCGCAGAUCAGCAACGCUGCGGUGAAUACGUUCCCGGGCCU
rnacentral:rRNA from 1 species